UUUUUUUUUUUUUUUUGCAUUUCAUCUACUUAAUUAUUUUGUAAGGUAGUUGUAAUACUUGGGUCACAGGGCUCAUAUAGAGGUCAGAGGGUAAUAUGUUGAGAGUCAGUUCCCUCCUUCACCUUGUGGGUCCUAGGGAACAGACUCAAGUAGUUUAUUCUUGGCAACAAAUGUGUUUAUCUCCUGAGCCAUCAUGCUGGCCCCAUUGAUGACUCUUGAUGAAUCAACUAUUCGUAUGGCAGCCCCAAAGUGAAGUUAUGAUUCUGGUUUUAAGGCUGGUAUCAUGGUGAUGGGUAAGGGUAGAAAGGAGAGGGAGUAGAGAAUUAAAUUGUGUAAUACCUGAUUUCUCAGAUGUCUACUGAGGUUGGGAGUGACUGGUGUUAGCUUUCUAACUUCACUAAGAACAAGCUAGAGAAUUCCAUGGCUUUGCAUGAUAAAAUCGCUUGCGGCCCUAAUGGACGCAACUCCAUUUUUCCAGCACUCAGUUAUCCCAGACAGCCCACCACCACCACUUAGCAUCCAUUUUCUCACGUCUCUGAUGACAACUCAGGGGGACCAUAUUGGUACCUCUGGUUUAUACACAAGAAAACUAACAUUCAGAAAGCUUGCAAUAUUUGCCAAAAGCCAUAUAGCUAGAAAAUGAAGAGUCUAGAUUCAGGCCAGAGAAGCUAGCAGCCCCCCACCCUUCCAGAGAGGCUGGCAAGCCCCCCCCCACACACACACACCCCUAGGAUAGUUGUUUAUGUGUAGCUUUGAUGCCCUUGACUUACAGGCGCCAAUGUGCUCUGAGCAGCCAUUGGCUGAGAGGAACUCCAGCCAACUCUGGGGCAAGCCUGGUGGCAGAGUCUCCAGACAUUGACUCAUCUGUUCCUGUAGCUGGGUAUGGCUGCAUCCCUGAGCUUAGAAAGGCAGGAAGCAACGCUGGUAUUUUAGAAUGGCUUUCAACAAUAACCUUGAUUGAGGGGAUUUUCCAGUUAACCCUGGAGAAUUCCAAUAACCAAACACUUAUUGUGUUUCUGUUCUUUGAAAAGUGGUAAUCCUUGGUAUGUGUAUGGUGAUUCUCAUUAACCAGCCAGUUCAACCAAACAGGAUUCCCUUAUUAGGAUAAGCAAAGAGCCAUAGAGUUACCAAGCUGAAAGAAAGGACUUUCCAGAGCAUUUACCAGAAUCCCUUAUCAGGUGAAGGGAUGACGUUUAUUCAUGUAGCUCAGCCUGCAUUCCUGGCAUAACCAUAAGUCCCAGCUUUGAGUGCUUUCUGCUACACUGAGUGACUACAGGGUGACCUGUGAGCUAAGUUUAGCCUUCAGCCACGUUUGGUUUGUCCUGCACGAUACUUCUAAAAAACUAAAUUUGCUAAAAAUGGUGGUACAUGUCUUUAAUCCCAGCACUUAGGAGGCAGAGGCAGAACUGUAGCAAAUAGAAAUCCUGUUUCAAAAAACCCAAACCAAACCAGAGCACAAGCAAACAACUCUGGGAGAUCGGUUAACACUAGGCUUGAAAUAAAGAGGAGCUAAGUAGCUGGUACCCUUUAGACUAGGCACCUGGGGUCUAAAUGCCACUUCACCCCCAACCUGGUCUGCCUUACCCACUUACCCAUUUCAUGACCUGCCUUGUCCCACCAGGCAUUGGAAUUGGGGUGCCUGCUUUUUGGCGAGGGGCAUUUCUUGAUUAAUUUUUUUUUAAUGAGGGAGACUAAAGUGGGCCAGAUAAAAAGUCAGGGGAGAUAAGAAGUCAAGAGUGCCCAUCAGAAUGUGAAGGGUCACAAGCAAAUGGGAGCCCUAGAGAGUUCCCAAGGAGAUACAGGCAGAUUGGUGCCCAUGUAGAGCUAGGAGGAGAACCCCUGUGGGAAAUGGAGGAUCUAGAGUCAAGAGCAAGCCUACUUGAAGGUCUAGUAAUGUCAUAAUGAGCCACUCUAGUUUCCUGGAGAUCGGGUCCUGGUCCGCAUUCAGUGUUCUAGAAAUAGCUUAUCUUACAUCACUUCCUUAAUUUGGGCUCAGUGUACCUGUUUCAAGUCAUUGGGUGGCUCAUACAAGAUACGUUAGGUUGAGUAAUCUUUAAAUAGAAUUUCAUUUCUCAAGGUUCUAGAGACUGGGAAGUCCAAGAUUUCAAGGCACCAGCAGAUCCUUACAAAGUAGACAAGCUCUCUCAAGCCAUUUUCCUAAUACUAUUCUUGAAAGUCUCCUGGGAGACUUAGUUACCUCCCAGGGUUUCUGCCUCCUAGUAAGUAGUAUGGCUAGAAAUUAGCCAGGCCCAGUGGUGGUGUGUGUGUGCAGUGCACACCUUUAACCCCAGCACUUGGGAGGCAGAGGCAGGAGGAUUUCUGAGUUUGAAGCCACCCUGGUCUACAGACACACACACAAAUAAAAUAUGAUAAAGAUUUAAAAAACAAAAUUUAUUGGAUGUUACAUGUUCAUAAAGGCAACAGCAGACAAGGUGCAUGUGAUUCAAAAGCAAAAAAAAACCUCCAGUGACCAAGACCUUUUAAAAGACGCUGCCUCUUUCACUUUCAGCCAUGUGAGGAACUUGAUCGUUUUUCCUACUUAUUCAUUGAUAUAUAUAUUUAUUCACUUUACAUCCCAAUUGCUGCUCCCCUCUCCCCGUACCUCCUUCACACAGUCCCCCAUCCCCUUUUCCUCUGAGAAGAUGGAACCCUCCCUCUUCCCUCGGUUAUCCCCCAACCUAGGUACAUCAAGUCUUUGCAGGGCUAGGCACAUCCUUUCCCACUGAGGCCAGACAAGGCAGCCUAGUUAAGGGAACAGGACCCACAGGCAGGCAACAGAUUCAGGGACAGCCCUUGCUCCAGUUGUUGGGAGAUCCACAUGAAGACCAAGCUACAUAUCUGUUCCAUAUGUGCAAGGAGGCCUAGGUCCAGCCUGUGUAUGCUCUUUGGUUGAUGGUUCAGUUUCUGGGAGCCCCUAGUGGUCCAGGUUAGUUGACUUUGUUGGUCUUCUUGUAGAGUUCCUAUUUCCUUCAGGGCCUGCAAUCCUUCCCACAACUCUUCCACAAGAGUCCCCAAGCUCCAUUUAAUGUUUGACUGUGGGACUCAGCAUCUGUUUCAGUCAGCUGCUGGGUAGCUGUCAGAGGAGUUAUGCUAGGCUCCUGUCUACAAGCACAACAGGCUCCAUAUCCUCACUGCUAGGAGUCUCAGCUAAAGUCACCCCCAUGGACUGGGAUGGGUGAGACUCCCGGGAGCUUUACCAUUUUGUCUGCUGUGAGAGAGAAGUCAGGAAAAACAAAAACAGAGCCUACUUAAUUGAGUUCGGAACUUAAAUCUGCCAGAACCCAAUGCAGUGGGUGCCCUCACUGCCAGAUGGCCAGCAGGUCCUUGGGAGUAAACCAGAAGACAGUUUUAAGAGGCUGUUGUUUCCCUAAGGACAUAGCUUAUAAUCUGCCUGUGCUUGAAGUACUUGCACAUACAGAGACUUCUUCUUUUUAAGCACAUAUUGAUUAAAUAUAAUGAGGCAUACUGAGGUUGAGAGGAGAGAUCAGGGAGGGAGGCGUCCAUGCAUACCCAGGGCUUUGAACAAGGGCUCCCCGACUCAAGGAAGUGCACAAACCCAAAAUUACCAGGAACCUACCUGUGAGUUUGUUGUGGACAGUUUCUGGGAUUCUGUGUAGCCUUUAUCAGCAUCUCUAAAGGGUCAUUGUCCAAAUAUAGUUAAACAGACUUCGGACACGGAAGCGUUGGACUCCCAUUCCUAGGCACAAUGGCACAGUUUAUAGCAGGUCCCUGUCAACCUCACUCCAUCACCCCCUCAAAUCCUUGCCUAGAAAUCUAUUCCAGCUAGCCUCCUUUUGCCCUACCAGGGGGAGGGGAAAUCCGAAAGCUUAUUUUUAGGCAGGCCCUGCCAAGACUCCCCGCAGUGGCUGGACUGCUGCUGGGCCUGAGGGGUGCCCGCGCCCCAGGAGGACAAGCAGUGUGCGGGAGGGGCCUGCGGGCACGAGCGGAUGUCACAGCUUACCUCAGAGCCUGAAUUAGAAGCCUGAAAAAAAAAAUCACAGCAGGAAAUAAUGUGGUGCCCAAAAUAGAAACAUCAACCGGGAGAGAGGCCGGGAGUAGGUGGCGUUUGAGGCUCCUGCAGCGUCCUCCCCAGAGGCCUCCUGACAACCGGCAAGCGGGUUGGCAUGAGAUUGCAACCCAGCCCAAGAGGCCACAAAGGCACCGGCUGGAUGUUUCAGCAAGGGAGAAGGAAUGGGCAGUAAAGUGGAGAAUCAGGACCGCCUCCUCUUCCCUCCCUCUCGACUUUCUCCUUCCUUCUCCAAAGUCUUACCGCCACCGCUGACCCCUUCCUCUUUUUCGGCAUCAUCCCUCAACCUUCUCCCCACACAAUGACUUCUGCUUUUUUCCUCACUCUCUAGUGCCCCUUCUUCUCUGAUACUGCCCCCACCCCGCUUCCUCCUUUCCCUCCCCACACCAAGCCCUUCAUUUCUCCUGGGUGGUCUCUGCCCCAACCCGCCGCCCCCCAGCCUCCCGGUGCUUUUGGGUGCCUUCCUAGGUAACUAGUGGGAGCUCAGUCUAGCAGCAGCUAACUGAAGGUCAGCCUCCUGUGCCUGACUGCAGCCUGGCUGCACUGAUCUCCCCUUCACCCCACACUCAGCACCCUCCACGCCUCUUUAGAGAAAAGGAGGCCCUGGAGUCUAAGGAAGAUGGCAGGGUCAGGACUCCUUCCUCUGGGGCCUCUGGAGGGCUUGAGAGGAAGCAGAAACUUUGCAGGCAAUCUUGGACUGUCUCUCCCUUCACAGCUGAGUUCCUGGUAGAUUGCAUGGUUUGCCAAAUUUCCGUGUUUCUCAUGCUGGCAUGUGCCAUUGGGCAAGGUAUAAAGUCGGUGAGAACCAGACUUAAGGUCUCUCUGAUGCUCCCCUUAACCUUCACCAACCCCGAGUGGGGAAACAUCUGUGAUCUCCUUUACAGUGGGAACUCAGAUGCAGCAGGUGAGCUGGAGGAUGGGGGACACUGGAGGAUGGGGGACACUGGAGGAUGGGGACACUGGAGGAUGGGGGACACUGAGGAUGUCUUUAAUCUUAGCACUAGGUAGAGGCAGAUGAUCUCUAGGAGUUAAGAGUCCAUCCUGGUCUACAUGGUGAGUUCCAGGCUAGCCAAGGCUACAUAGUGAGACCCUGUCUUUAAAAACAAAGGAAAGAAAAGUCGGAGUAGUAGGCAUGCUGCAUGUUUGUAAGAGUAGAAGGGCUGGGAUCGAGGCACAGGGAGUGCAGCCCCUCUACUGACCUUGAACUUGGACCAAGUUCAUUGACUUGGUAUUUCCAUACCCGGUUUUCUUCGUAACAAGAUUUGUUUUUUAUUAUUUCUUUUCUGAAUGUAAGCAUGAGACAUUCCAUUACAUAUGUUGGGUAAUUUCAAUUAUUAAAAAUUCCCUAGGUGGGGCUGGAGAGAUGGCUCAGCAGUUAAGAGCACUAACUGUUCUUCCAGAGAUCCUGAGUUCAAUUCCCAGCAACCACAUAUGUUCACAACCACCUUUAAUGAGAUCUGAUGACCUCUUCUGAUAUGUUGGAAGCCAGCAACAGUGUGCUCAUAUACAUUUUAAAAGG
rnacentral:lncRNA from 1 species